GACGAACGCUGGCGGCGUGCUUAACACAUGCAAGUCGAGCGGUAAGGCCCUUUCGGGGGUACACGAGCGGCGAACGGGUGAGUAACACGUGGGUGACCUGCCCUUAGCUCUGGGAUAAGCCUGGGAAACUGGGUCUAAUACCGGAUAUGACUCCAUGACGCAUGUUGUGGGGUGGAAAGCCUUGUGCGGCUAGGGAUGGGCCCGCGGCCUAUCAGCUUGUUGGUGGGGUGAUGGCCUACCAAGGCGACGACGGGUAGCCGGCCUGAGAGGGCGACCGGCCACACUGGGGACUGAGACACGGCCCAGACUCCUACGGGAGGCAGCAGUGGGGAAUCUUGCGCAAUGGGCGAAAGCCUGACGCAGCGACGCCGCGUGAGGGAUGACGGCCU
rnacentral:rRNA from 1 species